AUGCGACUGAGUCUCAAAGCAUUUGCUUUCAGCCGCAGAGAGAAGAAGCUGCCCAAGAAUGGAAAGGAAGAAAUAUAUCACAUCAUCUGUCUGUCCACAGGCUUUCCUCUGGGCUUAUGGAGAUUUCCUAGGGGUAAUUAUUUCCCAUUGACUAAGACCACAGGACAGUGUGAACACCUAACAAAUAGUAUGAGGCUGAUAUGGAGAAUAUGCCAAGUCAACUGGAUGAGUCAGCACAGGCAGCUCAAUGUCACUUUUUCUGUUGGAUGAAGUAUGAAGGAGACAGUGAGUGUUGAAAGCUUUGCCUCUUUUUGUAAUUUUGUGAUUCGCCUUCAGAGGAUGGGGUGAGGUGAGUCCUAUGGAAAGGAUGGGGGGCAGCAAUUUCCCUUGUGAGCUACAGGCUCGAGGAGUAGGAGAUC
rnacentral:lncRNA from 1 species